GUACAAAUAUGUAUGUUAAAAAGACUGAUAAGAAUAAAACUCCGGAUAUACCUUCGUAAUAUUUUACAUUUAGCACAAGUCUGUGCAUUUAUUUUUGGGGAAAAGAACUGCGUUUUAUCAGCUGCCAACACCUGCGUCAGAUUAGGUUUUGCCAAAACCAGGGCUCUGCGGCAGCGGUUCUCGGCCACUCCACGACACUUUUCCCGCACAGCCUCCUCCUCAGGCGCAGGAAGUGGGAUUGCUGCAGUACGGGUUCCAGCAUCAGCAGCACGAUCACGUCCACAUUUUCAUCAAGCAGUCUUUGGUGGGCCAGAUACAUCGCCAGCUUGAAGACCCCAGUCUUAACGUAGCCCUCUGUCAAGACAAACAGGGUCUUUCGGCUGUAUUGGAUGCUCUGAGUGAGGUUAUCUACCAGCGGGACUCCAGGGGGCCAGUCCCUCUCCUCCAGACACAGAGGAAGAGUCUUUUCUCCUUCUUCUUCCAGUUUCACUCGCAGAUUCCUCAUCACCCACUCAGAGACAUGCAGAUCUCUGGUGUCAUAAGUCACAAAGACAUCAUAAACACUGUCUGGCACUGCACAGUGACGGACAACGGGUUUAAAAGCAGGCAAUUGGCAUCUCACCUUAGUGUGUGGUCAUACCUGACAAGGUCAAUAACCCUCUCUCUGGGUGCUGAACUGACUGGCUCAUCAUUAAUCAUGAUGAUCUCGUCCCCUGGGAUCAGCUUGCCUUCUGAUGGACCCCCUGCCAACAUACACCAAACAAGAGUUAAGUGCUAUUAACGGUGCACAGUCAUUUUUCUUGAUUUUCUUGGUUUCCUGUCUUGUGGCUCAAGGCUCUAAUGAAUGCUUAAUCAUUGAGCACUCUUAAAAUCAAUGAAUCAUCAACGUAAACUACAGCCUGAGUGGGUUUUACUCUCUCCUUUUCGUUUUAGGGGGACUUCAGCUCCUUUGGUGAAAUUGUUGAUAAUGGCCACGGAUCAAGUGAGUCACUGUUCAGCUCACCGUACAGCUGGGGCACGUUACCUGGUGUAACUGAGCGGACCACCACGGGUUUCUCACUGCCUGCCACAAAUCCAAAGCCAAGCACUGGGUCUCGUCUCAUCUCCACCUUCCGGGGAGCUGGUGGCACAAACUUGUCUCCGUCCAGACGAACCUCCUCCAGGGAGCUGCUCUGGGAGACGUGGCUGUGAGAGGGAAAAACAUGUUUUUGUCAUCGCUACUGGUUGUUUUUGUUCCAUGGUCAAACUUUUGUAUGCAGUGUUGUGAAACCAGUGUGUACCAAAUAAAGCAGAAAAAUGGCUCUAGGAA